UACGUAGGGUGCGAGCGUUAAUCGGAAUUACUGGGCGUAAAGCGUGCGCAGGCGGUUUUUUAAGCCAGACGUGAAAUCCCCGGGCUCAACCUGGGAACUGCAUCUGUGACUGCAUCGCUGGAGUGCGGCAGAGGGGGAUGGAAUUCCGCGUGUAGCAGUGAAAUGCGUAGAUAUGCGGAGGAACACCGAUGGCGAAGGCAAUCCCCUGGGCCUGCACUGACGCUCAUGCACGAAAGCGUGGGGAGCAAACAGGAUUAGAUACCCUGGUAGUCCACGCCCUAAACGAUGUCAACUGGUUGUUGGGUCUUCAUUGACUCAGUAACGAAGCUAACGCGUGAAGUUGACCGCCUGGGGAGUACGGCCGCAAGGUUGAA
rnacentral:rRNA from 1 species